AGGAUGAACGCUGGCGGCGUGCUUAACACAUGCAAGUCGAACGAUGAUCCGGUGCUUGCACCGGGGAUUAGUGGCGAACGGGUGAGUAACACGUGAGUAACCUGCCCUUAACUUCGGGAUAAGCCUGGGAAACCGGGUCUAAUACUGGAUAUGACUGCCGGCCGCAUGGUCUGGUGGUGGAAAGCUUUAUGCGGUUUUGGAUGGACUCGCGGCCUAUCAGCUUGUUGGUGAGGUAAUGGCUUACCAAGGCGACGACGGGUAGCCGGCCUGAGAGGGUGACCGGCCACACUGGGACUGAGACACGGCCCAGACUCCUACGGGGGGCAGCAGUGGGGAAUAUUGCACAAUGGGCGAAAGCCUGAUGCAGCGACGCCGCGUGAGGAUGAAUGCCUUCGGGUUGUAAACCUCUUUCAGUAGGAAGAAGCCCUUCGGGUGACGGUACUUGCAGAAGAAGCGCCGCUAACUACGUGCCACAGCCGC
rnacentral:rRNA from 1 species